UGGCAAUGGCCGAUGCCUCCGGUGUGAGCAUCUGUUCGGAACAUAGUUCACGUACUUCAGAUCAGCCUGUGAGCGAUCUUGAUACCUCUGAACAAAGUUCAGUCAACCGCGCUAUCUUGAUGAGCUUGAAUCGAUUAAAUGAGAAUUUCGCAAGUUUCUCACAUCAAUAUGAAGAGAGCUUUGUAGAUACUGAAUCUACACCGGCUGAUGAUGGUGUAGAUAAUCCUGAGAAUAUCGAUAUUCAAGCAGACAUUGAGAGUUUAAUUCAGGCGGACAAAACAAUGGUUGAGAAUCAGCUUGGUCAAAAUGUUGUUGCAGAUGCUAAUGAGUGUGAGAUUUUACAGUAUGACAAACAAUUAGACAUUAACAUUGAAGUCAAAGGUCCAACAAUUAAUGAAAAGGUUAGCAGUAUUGUUGACAAAUUACGUUUGAAGCGGAUUAGCCAGGAACAAGCUAAAGCGAUCAUGAAACGCCAUAAUACACCUGAGAAUGUUCAAAUACGGUUACCUAAAUGCGAGACAACUAUUUGGAAUGAAAUUCCCGGUAGAGCGCGAAGCACUGAUUUAAAAUUUCAAACAACCCAAGCUGCCUUGUUAGGCGCUAUCAAUUGUCAACUCGAGGUAACUAAUUCAUUACUAUCCGCUAACGUGUCAAAAGAUGUUUUGACUACAAGUUUAGAUGGCAUCACGUUGGCUAUGACUGCAAAUUUCGAGCUCAACCAGAGACGUCGUGAUGCUAUCAGACCACAUUUUAAGACGGAGUUUGCAAAGGGACUUUGUAGUACGACAAGUCCUGCUGAUGAAUUUCUUUUUGGCGGGGACACCGCUAAGCGUGUUAAAGAAAUGGCUGAACUUAAUAAACAUAAAGUGUGUAAAGGUCCAUCUCCAGUUUUCCGAGGUCGAGGCCAGCGAUUCCAGCCAUAUAAUACCAGAGGAGUUCGUAGUGGUGCUACUCGUGGCAGGUAUACCCGAGGCUCUUAUAACAGUUUUCCACAGCGUCAGAAUUUUCCGAAUACGCCCCAGACCGAGCGAAAGGCUCCAAACCAGAAGCCCAGUCGCAAUUGACAGAUGCUAGCGAUCUUGGCUGGGGCGUAAACUGUACAACGAAUCCUACUUUACAAUCUCAAGGGUUGUGGACAAAUGAACAGCGCACCCUACAUAUUAAUCCUCAUUCCAAAAUGCCUGGGGAAGAUCUCGGAGGAUCAGGCGGAAGGAGUAUUAGUGGUCCCUGCAUGGCCAACACAAACUUGGUACCCUAUUCUCCUUCAAAUGUUAAUUCAUCAACCAAAAUUGUUGAUAUGGACUCCACAAUUGGAGCUACUGACUCAUCCAUUAGACAAGGUCCACAGCAUGAGGAACAAGCUCAGGCUGAUGGUUUGUCCAGUGUCAGGCAACAUUACCAAAGCCAGGGCCUUUCUAGACACGUUACCAAUGUUCUCCUCGACGCAUGGCGACCUGCUACGCAAAAACAGUAUGCGGUUUGUCUCAAAAAAUGGCAUAUAUUCUGUGGUGAACGGAAGAUUUCUCCACAUUCCCCCACUUUGAAUCACGAUUUGGAAUUUCUGUAUACCCAGCUUCACUUAUCAUAUUCCAGUAUCAACACAGCUCGAUCGGCCUUAUCUUGCUUUAUAUCUAUUGAUAAUUAUCCAGUAGGUAAACACCCUUUGGUUUGUCGGUUUUUAA